AACGAACGCUGGCGGCAGGCUUAACACAUGCAAGUCGAGCGCCCCGCAAGGGGAGCGGCAGACGGGUGAGUAACGCGUGGGAACGUACCCUUUGCUACGGAAUAGCUCCGGGAAACUGGAAUUAAUACCGUAUGUGCCCUACGGGGGAAAGAUUUAUCGGCAAAGGAUCGGCCCGCGUUGGAUUAGCGAGUUGGUGGGGUAAUGGCCUACCAAGGCGACGCUCCAUAGCUGGUCUGAGAGCAUGAUCAGCCACAUUGGUACGGAGACACGGCCCAUACUACUACGGGGGGCCGCGGUGUGUAAUAUUGGACAAUGGGCGCAAGCCUGAUCCAGCCAUGCCGCGUGAGUGAUGAAGGCCUUAGGGUUGUAAAGCUCUUUCACCGGAGAAGAUAAUGACGGUAUCCGGAGAAGAAGGCCCGGCUAACUUCGUGCCAGCCGCCGCUGUAACAC
rnacentral:rRNA from 1 species